AGGGAAUCUUCGGCAAUGGACGAAAGUCUGACCGAGCAACGCCGCGUGAGUGAAGAAGGUUUUCGGAUCGUAAAACUCUGUUGUUAGAGAAGAACGUUGCAUAGAGUGGAAAAUUAUGCAAGUGACGGUAUCUAACCAGAAAGGGACGGCUAACUACGUGCCAGCAGCCGCGGUAAUACGUAGGUCCCGAGCGUUGUCCGGAUUUAUUGGGCGUAAAGCGAGCGCAGGUGGUUUAAUAAGUCUGAUGUAAAAGGCAGUGGCUCAGCCAUUGUGUGCAUUGGAAACUGUUAGACUUGAGUGCAGUAGAGGAGAGUGGAAUUCCAUGUGUAGCGGUGAAAUGCGUAGAUAUAUGGAGGAACACCGGUGGCGAAAGCGGCUCUCUGGACUGUCACUGACACUGAGGCUCGAAAGCGUGGGUAGCAAACAGGAUUA
rnacentral:rRNA from 1 species